CGCCUCCAGAGCUGGGUUUCACAUCUCAAGAGCCGAAGCUUGGAGGACUGGCGGGAGGGUGAUCCAUAAGGCUCAAUGUGGAGAACCCCCCGGAGCAGAAGGUGGAUGCAGAGUGUUGGAGAGAUACGGCCAAGGGAAGAGGUCUGGUUAGUGGGCCUGAGGCAGCUCGCCGGGCCCACCAUCUCUGGCAAGGUGCCCAGAGAGUCUGCAGGAUCUGGGAAGCCCAGAAGGGCCGGAGUCUAUCAGUGACCUGAGUUGGACGAGGAGGCCACAUGGUGUGGACUCUUGGAACCAGAACCAGUGGGCACAGCACAAUGCUCCAAGGACCAGCAGACGCCAAAGCAGGAUGCCCAGAGACCCAAUGGCCAUGCUACUCAUCAGGGGACAUGGAAGGACCAGGGGCUUCAGCUAACAACGGUUGAUCUGAGGUCCCUUCCAUCUGAUUUCACAGAAUGAGAAAGCCAGGUCACGGAGAUUUUAAAAGGGCACUGAAAAAGCAGGCUCCUUUGAUUCAGAUCCAUCGGGUGUUAAUGAUGAAUUGUGAGAACGAUUUAGAAAGGUGUUUCGGCACUUUUGGGAUCCUUCUGCAGAGGCUCCCAUGGAGAGGGGUUUUAGACGGACAACCGAGAAAUCGCUCUGUGGUUUCCCUCUGCCGGACAGCCGUAGCAAAGGGAGAAAGCCUCGAAGUCUUGUCCCGUGUCCUGCUUGAGUUUCUGGGAAACUGGUCUUGCCCAUCUGCUCUGAUCUCUUUCUCUCAGCUACUGAAACGAGCCUUCCUCCCUGACUCAAAUUUCCUGGAAUAUACUUAGGACUCAUUUUGGAGAGAAGCUCCUUAGAGCAAGCGAUCCAUGAGUCUUGGUGAACC